UGCCAGACUCCUACGGGAGGCAGCAGUGGGGAAUAUUGCACAAUGGGCGAAAGCCUGAUGCAGCAACGCCGCGUGAAGGAAGAAGGGUUUCGGCUCGUAAACUUCUAUCAACAGGGACGAAAGAAAUGACGGUACCUGAAUAAGAAGCCCCGGCUAACUACGUGCCAGCAGCCGCGGUAAUACGUAGGGGGCAAGCGUUAUCCGGAAUUACUGGGUGUAAAGGGUGAGUAGGCGGCAUGGUAAGCCAGAUGUGAAAGCCUUGGGCUUAACCCGAGGAUUGCAUUUGGAACUGUAUUUCUUGAGUGCUGGAGAGGCAAUCGGAAUUCCGUGUGUAGCGGUGAAAUGCGUAGAUAUACGGAGGAACACCAGUGGCGAAGGCGGAUUGCUGGACAGUAACUGACGCUGAGGCGCGAAAGCGUGGGGAGCAAACAGGAUUAGAUACCCCAGUAUAC
rnacentral:rRNA from 1 species